rnacentral:rRNA from 1 species
CCUACGGGGGGCAGCAGUGAGGAAUAUUGGUCAAUGGACGAGAGUCUGAACCAGCCAAGUAGCGUGAAGGAUGACUGCCCUAUGGGUUGUAAACUUCUUUUAUAUGGGAAUAAAAUGUUCCACGUGUGGGUUUUUGUAUGUACCAUAUGAAUAAGGAUCGGCUAACUCCGUGCCAGCAGCCGCGGUAAUACGGAGGAUCCGAGCGUUAUCCGGAUUUAUUGGGUUUAAAGGGAGCGUAGGUGGAUUGUUAAGUCAGUUGUGAAAGUUUGCGGCUCAACCGUAAAAGUGCAGUUGAAACUGGCAGUCUUGAGUACAGUAGAGGUGGGCGGAAUUCGUGGUGUAGCGGUGAAAUGCUUAGAUAUCACGAAGAACUCCGAUUGCGAAGGCAGCUCACUGGACUGCAACUGACACUGAGGCUCGAAAGUGUGGGUAUCAAACAGGAUUAGAUACCCCAGUAGUC